GCCCCGGUAAACGGCGGCCGUAACUAUAACGGUCCUAAGGUAGCGAAAUUCCUUGUCGGGUAAGUUCCGACCUGCACGAAUGGCGUAAUGAUGGCCAGGCUGUCUCCACCCGAGACUCAGUGAAAUUGAACUCGCUGUGAAGAUGCAGUGUACCCGCGGCAAGACGGAAAGACCCCGUGAACCUUUACUAUAGCUUGACACUGAACAUUGAGCCUUGAUGUGUAGGAUAGGUGGGAGGCUUUGAAGUGUGGACGCCAGUCUGCAUGGAGCCGACCUUGAAAUACCACCCUUUAAUGUUUGAUGUUCUAACGUUGGCCCGUAAUCCGGGUUGCGGACAGUGUCUGGUGGGUAGUUUGACUGGGGCGGUCUCCUCCUAAAGAGUAACGGAGGAGCACGAAGGUUGGCUAAUCCUGGUCGGACAUCAGGAGGUUAGUGCAAUGGCAUAAGCCAGCUUGACUGCGAGCGUGACGGCGCGAGCAGGUGCGAAAGCAGGUCAUAGUGAUCCGGUGGUUCUGAAUGGAAGGGCCAUCGCUCAACGGAUAAAAGGUACUCCGGGGAUAACAGGCUGAUACCGCCCAAGAGUUCAUAUCGACGGCGGUGUUUGGCACCUCGAUGUCGGCUCAUCACAUCCUGGGGCUGAAGUAGGUCCCAAGGGUAUGGCUGUUCGCCAUUUAAAGUGGUACGCGAGCUGGGUUUAGAACGUCGUGAGACAGUUCGGUCCCUAUCUGCCGUGGGCGCUGGAGAACUGAGGGGGGCUGCUCCUAGUACGAGAGGACCGGAGUGGACGCAUCACUGGUGUUCGGGUUGUCAUGCCAAUGGCACUGCCCGGUAGCUAAAUGCGGAAGAGAUAAGUGCUGAAAGCAUCUAAGCACGAAACUUGCCCCGAGAUGAGUUCUCCCUGAGACUUAGAGU
rnacentral:rRNA from 1 species